CCAGUACCAUGUCUGCCUGCACAUUGCCAUGUCCUAUAACGGACCGGAACUCUGAAACUGGCAGAAAAUGCAAGUAUCCUAAAUGGCCUCUGUAAUUCAUAUCGUUAUAAAAUACGUAUCAACAUUAGCAUCAGUGCUGGAGAGCAGGACCCGACGAUACAAUAUUUCUAUAAGAGACAGAGUUUCUCUGUGUAACAGCCCUGGCUGUCCUGG